rnacentral:lncRNA from 1 species
CUAAAUUCAUGUCUAAAUUAUAAACAGAUAUGGCAACACUGUUCACAAAAUUCAUGCUGCUGCAUGGCCGUUGCCCUAAACUUUAUGUUGUCCCUUAUUUUAUACAAUGCUUUUUCGUCUUAAUGUCAUUGUAUUUACUGAGAAAAUAAUUAUAAGUUUAUUUUAGACUUGAUGAAACAAAUAAAUUUUGCGAAAGGUUGAUAUUAACACAUUCACCGACACAACUGCAUAUAAUAUAGUCACUUACUCCGUAAGAUGUGGCUACAUGUGAAGCGUGUCCGUGAAUGUGUUAACAGAGUUUUUUUAUCCUGCCCUUUAACUUAAUAUCUGCAACCUCAAAAUACAGAUAUAAGACUACGCCCGGUUUCAUAAUCAGUUAAAGUGGACUUUAAGUUUUAAGUUGGUACCCUUGUCAAUGCAAUUCAUAUGGGUAAAUGUCAACGUUAAAGUGAACUUUAGUUAAUGUUCACUUUAAGUUGAUUAUGAAUAAGAAUUCAGCUACUUUAUCCAUUUAGUGAAGAUGUUUUGUUUACAAAUCUAUAAACAUUUCAUCUACAUUGCUGUAUGCUAUACCUACUAGGAUGUUUACAGAUUUGUAAACGAAAAUAUCUUCAGUAAAUGAUGAAGUAGCCAUAUUCUUUGCCUUUAUUCUCCACCGUCUAUAUCAAAUAAGGAUCACUUGAAAGUGGUGGGUUCUUCAAUCAAUAGGUAGAGAAUAAAAGAUAAAUUCGGCUACUUCAAUCCUAUCAGUAAACAUCAUCACUUCAUCUACAAAUGAGUUUGAUAAGAAACAAACAUCCAUAGAGAUAUAAAAAUGCAAUAGUUGUUACCUUAAAAAGAUAUCAACAAGAUAAGUAAUGUAGCUAGUCAAAUGAACCAUUGAAAAUGUAGGAUAUAAAUGUUUAUUAAUAUUAAAGAAGAACAGGAACCAAGAGUUACACUUCCAAAUAUUUAAUAGCUUAGCCAUAAUGUCAACUGUACUCAGUUUUUGAAAAACCUAAUGAUUUAUGUUUUUAUUUACAUUUUCAAUGGUUCAUUUGACUAGCUACAUUACUUAAAUCUUGUUAGUUGAUAUCUUUUUAAGGCAACAACUGUUGCAUUUUUAUAUCUCUAUGGAUGUUUGUUUCUUAUCAAACUCAUUUGUACAAGAACUGAUGGAAGAGAAGGUUAAUGAUUGGUUCAAGCACUUCAAAAAAAUAAAGAAAGAAAAGGGAACCAGAGGAUAUUCCUGGGGAAGUGUGGAAGGCGUCAGGAGAGAUAGGAAGAAGUUGGCUAACACGUUUAUUUAAUAGAAUUAUGGAAGUUACGACAAGUGCUAAACGAUGGAGAAGCAGUAUAUUUGUACCUGUUUAGAAAAAAAAAAUACAAUAAUGAACAAACUACAGGGUAAUAAAACUACUUAGUCACAUCAUCAAAAUAUGGGAGAGCCACAAUCAUUUUAGUUGUUGUACAAAGAUUAAUUUAACAUUUUCUCUGGAAGUAUUAAUUUGGAAAGAUAAUAUGCCUCAUUGGUGUUGUGUUUUGAAGUGUGAAAUGCAAAGUAAUCGUGAUAAAGUUAGCUUUUACCACUUACCAUCAGUGCUACAUUCUAAGCACAAAACUGAACCAAUUUAACUAAAUAAGUUAUAGUUAUCAUCUGAGAGACAACAACAAUGGUAAAAUGCAAUAAAAUAUAAAGAUUUUACUAGCAAAAUGGAAAUUCCCCUGUAAUCAUCUUAUAUCUGGUAAGUUACAACAUUUGAACAUUAACGAUUUUUGAAGAUGUUAACAGUCUAAUCUUGUAGGAAAACCAGCCGACUUAACUGAUAAUAACAAUCCAGAUUGGGUUCCUUCAAUAAAUAUGGGGUAUAUAAACACAAUGAAAUGAGUUCCCCAAAAUCUAAAAUGGGAAUUAAGGUACCAAAGGAGAAUUAAAAGAAAAGGGUACCUACAAGAAAAAAUUGCUUUUUUAUUCCUCUUGAAAUGAUUUAUAAGACACUGGACUAUAUUCACUGGUCUUAUAUUCUACAAAUACUAGAAUCAGCUGAGAGAAGUGGUCUACAAAAACCCAGGAAGGAAACGGAAUAUGUGGCUACGAAAGGCAAAAGAAAGGUUUACAAAGCAAAUGUGACACAUUUUUUUGAAAUAUUUAGGAAUAUCAGUAAAUUGCAUUAAAAAAAUGUAUGAAAAGAUUUUGUUCAAUAAAAAUGUUUAUAUUUAUCAAGGAUGUAUUAAUUGGUAUGGCCACAUAUUGUCAGUGAUGUAAUAAUACAUCCUAUCUGUUUUCUCAUGAGUUUCGUGAGACUAAAAACUUGUCUUAGGGUCACCU